AUUGAACGCUGGCGGCAGGCCUAACACAUGCAAGUCGGGCGGAUGAAGGGAGCUUGCUCCUGGAUUCAGCGGCGGACGGGUGAGUAAUGCCUAGGAAUCUGCCUGGUAGUGGGGGAUAACGUCCGGAAACGGGCGCUAAUACCGCAUACGUCCUGAGGGAGAAAGUGGGGGAUCUUCGGACCUCACGCUAUCAGAUGAGCCUAGGUCGGAUUAGCUAGUUGGUGGGGUAAAGGCCUACCGAGGCGACGAUCCGUAACUGGUCUGAGAGGAUGAUCAGUCACACUGGAACUGAGACACGGUCCAGACUCCUACGGGAGGCAGCAGUGGGGAAUAUUGGACAAUGGGCGAAAGCCUGAUCCAGCCAUGCCGCGUGUGUGAAGAAGGUCUUCGGAUUGUAAAGCACUUUAAGUUGGGAGGAAGGGCAGUAAGUUAAUACCUUGCUGUUUUGACGUUACCAACAGAAUAAGCACCGGCUAACUUCGUG
rnacentral:rRNA from 1 species